rnacentral:rRNA from 1 species
AACGAACGCUGGCGGCAGGCUUAACACAUGCAAGUCGAACGGAUCCUUCGGGAUUAGUGGCAGACGGGCGAGUAACGCGUGGGAACGUACCCUUUGCUACGGAAUAACUCAGGGAAACUUGAGCUAAUACCGUAUGUGCCCUACGGGGGAAAGAUUUAUCGGCAAAGGAUCGGCCCGCGUUGGAUUAGCUAGUUGGUGGGGUAAUGGCCUACCAAGGCGACGAUCCAUAGCUGGUCUGAGAGGAUGAUCAGCCACACUGGGACUGAGACACGGCCCAGACUCCUACGGGAGGCAGCAGUGGGGAAUAUUGGACAAUGGGCGCAAGCCUGAUCCAGCCAUGCCGCGUGAGUGAUGAAGGUCUUAGGAUUGUAAAGCUCUUUCACCGGUGAAGAUAAUGACGGUAGCCGGAGAAGAAGCCCCGGCUAACUUCGUG